CGUGCGUUUUUGUCAUGGCUCAUUAAAGGGGUCUGGGUCAAAAAUGCUCCCGAACAGUAUUGCCAUUGUAUUUAGUUACAAAACGUUAACCACAGCGGAUCAAAAUGUUUUGGGAUCUACUCGGUGGAAUUGUCGAGUUCAUUUUCGGGCUCUUGUUUCCCAGUUCUGGCAGUGGCGAUGAACCAGACUCUGAGGAGGUGGAAACUACCUGAUGCCUAAACAAAUAUUAUUUUUUACCAAUGUUAUUUUGUAAAAGUUCCAUGUUUUCGCUUUAUUUCAUCUACGUAGAGUGUGUUUAUUUAACAUAAACUGCUUUAACAGCUACUA